UACGAAGGGGGCUAGCGUUGCUCGGAAUCACUGGGCGUAAAGGGUGCGUAGGCGGGUCUUUAAGUCCGGGGUGAAAUCCUGGAGCUCAACUCCAGAACUGCCUUUGAUACUGAGGAUCUUGAGUUCGGGAGAGGUGAGUGGAACUGCGAGUGUAGAGGUGAAAUUCGUAGAUAUUCGCAAGAACACCAGUGGCGAAGGCGGCUCACUGGCCCGAUACUGACGCUGAGGCACGAAGGCCAGGGGAGCAAACGGG
rnacentral:rRNA from 1 species